UGGGGAAUUUUGGACAAUGGGCGCAAGCCUGAUCCAGCCAUGCCGCGUGCAGGAAGAAGGCCUUCGGGUUGUAAACUGCUUUUGUCAGGGAAGAAAUCCUUUGGGCUAAUACCCCGGAGGGAUGACGGUACCUGAAGAAUAAGCACCGGCUAACUACGUGCCAGCAGCCGCGGUAAUACGUAGGGUGCGAGCGUUAAUCGGAAUUACUGGGCGUAAAGCGUGCGCAGGCGGCUUUGCAAGACAGAUGUGAAAUCCCCGGGCUCAACCUGGGAACUGCAUUUGUGACUGCAAGGCUAGAGUGCGGCAGAGGGAGAUGGAAUUCCGCGUGUAGCAGUGAAAUGCGUAGAUAUGCGGAGGAACACCGAUGGCGAAGGCAAUCUCCUGGGCCUGCACUGACGCUCAUGCACGAAAGCGUGGGGAGCAAACNGGAUUAAUNCCCUGGUAGUCCACGCCCUAAANGAUGUNAACUGGUUGUUGGACGGCUUGCUGUUCAGUAACGAAGCUAACGCGUGAAGUUGACCGCCUGGGGAGUNCGGCCGCAAGGUUGAAACUCAAAGGAAUUGACGGGGUCAUAGCU
rnacentral:rRNA from 1 species